AGCGAACGCUGGCGGCAGGCUUAACACAUGCAAGCCGAGCGGGCAUAGCAAUAUGUCAGCGGCAGACGGGUGAGUAACGCGUGGGAACGUACCUUUUGGUUCGGAACAACACAGGGAAACUUGUGCUAAUACCGGAUAAGCCCUUACGGGGAAAGAUUUAUCGCCGAAAGAUCGGCCCGCGUCUGAUUAGCUAGUUGGUGAGGUAAUGGCCCACCAAGGCGACGAUCAGUAGCUGGUCUGAGAGGAUGAUCAGCCACAUUGGGACGGAGACACGGCCCAAAAUCCAACGGGAGGCAGCAGUGGGGAAUAUUGGACAAUGGGCGCACGCUUGAUCCAGCCAUGCCGCGUGAGUGAUGAAGGCCCUAGGGUUGUAAAGCUCUUUUGUGCGGGAAGAUAAUGACGGUACCGCAAGAAUAAGCCCCGGCUAACUUCGUGCCAGCCGCCGCAGUAA
rnacentral:rRNA from 1 species